AAGUAUCCAAUAUAAUACACUGUACAGUUGUGGGUGAAAUGGAAUUCUGUAAACUCGGUCACCAUACCCGUAAUAAUCAUAUUUCUAGGGUCAACCCGACAAGCAUAUUUGUAUCUUUUUUGAUGAGUGCGGUGUGCGUGUUCUGCGAAUCCGGGAAAAAGGGAGCAGUAACUGAAAAAUGCGAUGGAUCAUUUUCAAGAAUUAAAUACCUUAAUUUUCUGCUUCAUGAAUGUGGUACGAAAGUCUUAUAAAAACGGUUUCGAUUGAUUUAAUGUAAACACAAAGUCUGCAACAGACAAAAUCAAACACUGACAAUUUGUGGAUCGAGAGUG